GCAUCGCUCAGGCGGGUCUCCAGCACGGCCGCUGCGUCCGUGGCCAAAUAGUCGUUGGGUAUACGCCGCGAUGUUAAGAGCCGCGAACGCGAACGCAACGUUUCGCAGCAGCACGCAGCAGCACGUAGCAGCAGCAGCAGCAGCAACACCAGCAGCCGCCACACGCCAAACGCAGCACGCAGCAGUUAACCGUUGUUGAGCCUCUACAGCCGCAGAGGCUGUCGCAGAGCCGUCGAGCCGUUCAGCCGUUCAGCGUUUGCCUUGUGUUAGUAGCCGCCAUCGUCGUCGCAGCAGCCAACUCGAGCGCUGCCGUUGCCGAUGCCGUCGCUGUCGCCGUCGCCGUUGUUGUCGCCGCCGUCGUCGUCGUCGUCGUCGCUGUCGCCGUCGUUGUGGCUGUCGAUUGCAAUGCAUGGGAAAGAGGAAGAACGCUAAUUUGCAUAGCGCCUAACGUGACGUGCAGAUAGAAAUAUUUGAAAUUGAUAUGGAAAAAAUGAUAUGAUGAGAUGAUAAUGAAAGUAAUGUGCUUGGUGCUGAAGAUGCUGAUGAAGCCCAAAAUGAUGAUGAUGAUGAUGUGGAUGAUGAUUAUGUUGAUAAUGCUGCCCACACUGCAAGCCAAAGUCAAAGUGAAAACUAACUAAAAGCAAAAGCCAAAGAAAUUCGAAAGCAAUACCGAAAUACAUAUAUAAUAUAUAUAUUAUAUAUCUGAACUAUCUUUCGUUUUCUAUGUACAAAAUGAACACUUGCUACAAUUCAUAAAAUAAUAAUAAUAAUAAUAAUAGUAAAUACUAAAGCUGGUAAUACUUACCUCAACAAAUAGCAAUCCAUUUGAUAUUAUUAUAAAAAUCAACUAAGCAACGUGAGCAGCAGAGCAACCGCUUGGCCGCUGUCUAUAUGCCGGAUAUCAAAUUCAUAUCGUCAAUCCAAUGCAAUGAUUAGAAAACUGAGCAAUGAGUAAAAAAUAAAUGUGAAAAUUUAUUCAAGUUUUUUUUACUAAAUACUCGGAGAAGAUAAUAAGCAACAGCCAAAAAGAAAAAAGAAAACAAAACAAAUACAAAUAAAACAAAAACAAAAGAGAAAUCAAGGCCAGCCGCAAUUUAGCUAGAAACGUAGUAAAAAUAAAAAAAUAAAAGCAAACAAAAAAAUCCUAAAAAAAAAAAA